rnacentral:rRNA from 1 species
AGCAGCCGCGGUAAUUCCAGCUCCAAUAGCGUAUAUUAAAGUUGUUGCAGUUAAAAAGCUCGUAGUUGAAUUUCGGGAUUGACACGUCGGUCGUGCCUUAAGGGGUAUGAACUGGCGUAGUCAAUUUCUCACCUUCUGGAGAACCGCGCUGUCCUUAAUUGGGUGACGCGGGGAACCAGGACCUUUACUUUGAAAAAAUUAGAGUGUUUAAAGCAGGCAUUUUGCUUGAAUACAUUAGCAUGGAAUAAUAAAAUAGGACGGCAUGAUUCUAUUUUGUUGGUUUCUAGGAUCACCGUAAUGAUUAAUAGGGAUAGUUGGGGGCAUUAGUAUUCAAUUGUCAGAGGUGAAAUUCUUGGAUUUAUUGAAGACUAACUACUGCGAAAGCAUUUGCCAAGGAUGUUUUCAUUAAUCAAGAACGAAAGUUAGGGGAUCGAAGACGAUCAGAUACCGUCGUAGUCUUAACCAUAAACUAUGCCGACUAGGAAUCAGACGAUGUUAAUUUUUUAAUGACUCGUUUGGC